rnacentral:rRNA from 1 species
UACGUAGGGUGCGAGCGUUAAUCGGAAUUACUGGGCGUAAAGCGUGCGCAGGCGGCGCUGCAAGUCGAGUGUGAAAUCCCCGAGCUUAACUUGGGAAUUGCGCUCGAAACUACGGUGCUGGAGUGUGGCAGAGGGAGGUGGAAUUCCACGUGUAGCGGUGAAAUGCGUAGAGAUGUGGAGGAACACCGAUGGCGAAGGCAGCCUCCUGGGCCAACACUGACGCUCAUGCACGAAAGCGUGGGGAGCAAACAGG